rnacentral:rRNA from 1 species
CGAGCGUUGUUCGGAAUUAUUGGCGUAAAGGGUGCGUAGGCGGUUUGGUAAGUCUGAUGUGAAAUCUAUGGGCUCAACUCAUAGUCUGCAUCGGAAACUGCCGGGCUUGAGUGUGGGAGAGGUGAGUGGAAUUCCUGGUGUAGCGGUGAAAUGCGUAGAUAUCAGGAGGAACACCUGUGGCGAAAGCGGCUCACUGGACCAUAACUGACGCUGAUGCACGAAAGCUAGGGGAGCAAACAGG